rnacentral:rRNA from 1 species
GGGGUGCUCGAGUGGCGAACGGGUGAGUAACACGUGAGUAACCUGCCCUUGACUUUGGGAUAACUUCAGGGAACUGGGGCUAAUACCGGAUAGGAGCUCCUGCUGCAUGGUGGGGGUUGGAAAGUUUCGGCGGUUGGGGAUGGACUCGCGGCUUAUCAGCUUGUUGGUUGGGUAGUGGCUUACCAAGGCUUUGACGGGUAGCCGCCUGAGAGGGUGACCGGCCACAUUGGGACUGAGAUACGGCCCAG